rnacentral:rRNA from 1 species
UGCGUAGGCGGAUUAAUAAGUCAGUGGUGAAAUCUUUCGGCUCAACCGAGAAACUGCCAUUGAUACUGUUAAUCUUGAGUUCGGUUGAAGUAGGCGGAAUGUGUAAUGUAGCGGUGAAAUGCUUAGAUAUUACACAGAACACCAAUUGCGUAGGCAGCUUACUAGACCGACACUGACGCUGAGGCACGAAAGCGUGGGGAGCGAACAGGAUUAGAUACCCUGGUAGUCC